rnacentral:rRNA from 1 species
UACGGAGGGAGCUAGCGUUGUUCGGAAUUACUGGGCGUAAAGCGCACGUAGGCGGCUUUUUAAGUCAGGGGUGAAAUCCCGGGGCUCAACCCCCGGAACUGCCCUUGAAACUGGAGAGCUAGAAUCUUGGAGAGGCGAGUGGAAUUCCGAGUGUAGAGGUGAAAUUCGUAGAUAUUCGGAAGAACACCAGUGGCGAAGGCGACUCGCUGGACAAGUAUUGACGCUGAGGUGCGAAAGCGUGGGGAGCAAACAGGAUUGAGAA